rnacentral:rRNA from 1 species
UACGUAGGGUGCAAGCGUUGUCCGGAAUUAUUGGGCGUAAAGAGCUCGUAGGCGGCUUGUCGCGUCGGCUGUGAAAACCUGGGGCUCAACCCCGGGCCUGCAGCCGAUACGGGCAAGCUAGAAUUCGGUAGGGGAGACUGGAAUUCCUGGUGUAGCGGUGAAAUGCGCAGAUAUCAGGAGGAACACCGGUGGCGAAGGCGGCUUCCUGGACCGAUUACUGACGCUGAGGCGCGAAAGCUAGGGGAGCAAACAGG